CAGAAGCAUCCUCUCUGCAGCAGGAGAAGGGGCCGCUGGUGCAGAUCCCGGCUGGGCCUCCCUGUCCUCACCGCCCCCUCUCCGUUCCAUUUGGAAGGCACAGAAGUGUGGCCACAGCUUUCUCCGAGGCCUGUGGUGACGCACGCCUUGGGGCCCCAGCGUGUCCCUCUCCAACGGGGACGAUGGUCCCAUGUUUAACAGUGGAGAAACAAUCACACACUUGGAGCUUGUCCCACGGCACAGUGGUUAAGUACUGUGCAGAGGAAGCGGGAUCCCACACGGUCGACCGCGGUUCAAAUCCUGGCCCCGGCAGCAACACCCCCGAUGUGCGCAUGCACGCUCAGAAUACCCUCGUGGGACGGAGAACUGCAAGAACAACCGUGGCAGACCAGGCUUGCUG